rnacentral:rRNA from 1 species
CAAGUCGAGCGCGAAUGGAGCAAUCCUAGUAGAGCGGCGCACGGGUGAGUAACACGUGGGUAAUCUGCCUGGAAGCCCGGGACAACCUGCCGAAAGGCUGGCUAAUACCGGAUAAGCCCACAGGGUCCUUGGACCCCGAGGGAAAAGAUGGCCUCUGCAUGCAAGCUAUCACUUCCAGAUGAGCCCGCGACCCAUCAGCUAGUUGGCGGGGUAAUGGCCCACCAAGGCAACGACGGGUAGCUGGUCUGAGAGGACGAUCAGCCACACUGGAACUGAGACACGGUCCAGACUCCUACGGGAGGCAGCAGUGGGGAAUUUUGCGCAAUGGGCGAAAGCCUGACGCAGCAACGCCGCGUGUGUGAUGAAGGUCUUCGGAUCGUAAAGCACUUUCGACUGGGACGAAAACCCGCUGGCUAACAUCCAGCGGUCUGACGGUACCGGGAGAAGAAGCACCGGCUAACUCUGUGCCAGCAGCCGCGGUAAUACAGAGGGUGCAAGCGUUGUUCGGAAUUAUUGGGCGUAAAGCGCGUGUAGGCGGCUUUGCAAGUCGGGUGUGAAAGCCCUCGGCUCAACCGAGGAAGUGCGCCCGAAACUGCAUGGCUCGAGUCCCGGAGAGGAUGGCGGAAUUCC